UAUCUUUCUGCUACUUCAUUAUUAGUGUAAAGAAAUUCAACUGAUUUUUGCGUAUUAAUUUUGUAUCUUAUGAGUUUACUGAAAUCAUUUGUCAGUUCUAGUAGUUUUUUGGUUGAGUCUUUCUGCAAACAGUGCAAGUUUUACUUUUUCCUUACCAAUUUGGAUGCUUUUUAUUUCUUUUGUUGUUGUUGUUUGAUUACUGUGAGUAGAACUUCCAGUACUAUGUUGAAGAAGUGGCAAGAGUAGACAUUCUUGUUCUGUUCCUGAUCUUAGAGAAAAAGCUGUCAGGUUUUCACCACUUAGUAUGAUGUUGGCUCUGAGUUUUUCAUAUCAUGGCCUUUAUUAUACUGAGAUAUGUUUCCUCUAAACCUGCUUUAUUGAGGGUUUUUGUCAUGGAUAUGUGUUGUACCUUGUCAAAUGCCUUUUCUGCAUCUUUGCGAUGCUCAUGUUUUUUAUCCUUUUUUCUUGUUCAUGUGAUCUAUCACAUUGAUUUGAAAAUAUUGAACCAUCCUUUUAUUCCUGAAAUUAAUCCCACUUUAUCCUGAUGAUUGAUUUUUUUAAAUGUAUUGUUGAAUUCUGUUUGCUAAUAUUUAGUUGAUGAUUUUUAUAUCAUCACAGAUAUGGCCUAUAGUUUUUUGUUGUUGUUGUCUUUUUCUGGUUUUGGUAUUAAUACUGGCCUCAUAGAAUGAAUUUGGAAGUUUUUCUUCCUCCUCUAUAUUUUUGGAAUAGUUUGAGAAGAGUAAAUAUUACCUGUUCUUUAAAUGUUUGUUAGAAUUCACCUGUGAAGCUAUCUGGUCCUGUACUUUAGCUUGUUGGGAGUUUUUUUUGUUUUUGUUUUUUUUAUUAGUGAUUCAAUUUCAUUGCUAGUAAUCGAUUUGUUCAAAUUUUUUAUUUCUUCCUGAUUCAGUUUUGGAAGAUUAUGUUUCUAGGAAUUUAUCCAUUUCUUCUAGGUUAUUGAAUUUGUUGGCAUAUAAUUUUUCAUAAUAUUCUCUUAUAAUCCCCUUGUUUCUGUGAUGUAGUUGAUCUUUUCAAAGAAACAGCUUCUGGUUUCAUUUAUCUGUUAUGUUCUUUUGGUCUCUAUUUCAUUUAUUUCUGCUCUAAUCUUUAUUAUUUCCUUCCUUCUUUUGGCUUUGGGCUUUGUUCUUUUUCUAGCUCUUAUAGGUGUUAGAUUGUUUAUCCUGCUAAGUCACCUCAGCUAGAAUCCCCUGCCCUUGAUAUCUGAUCAUCCUAGAUAUCUGCUCUGGUUCCUCACCUUCCACUUUCCCCCAGGUAAUGUCUGAUCACCUGGGCUAUCUUCAGCAACAGUCCUCUUGGCUUGGUUUAGCCAGAAUUUCUCCUUAUCUUUGAUGUUUCCCUUAGUAAUUUUCCACCCACUAACCCCCACCCUUUUCCUUGGCCAUAAAUUCCCACUUGGCAAUGCUGUAUUCAGGGCUGAGUUGCUUCUUUCCUACUGUAAGAUCACAUUGCAAGUGGUCCUAAUACCUAUUGUGAUGGUCCCAAGUGUGAUUGGAUAUUUUUUUUUUUUUUUAGCAGAGGAACUUCUAAUUAGAUAUACUAAAAGGGGUCUUGAAAUGUGAAAACAUCCCAUUUUAUUUCCUCUUCAACUCAAUAUUUUCUUUUAAUUUUUUUUUAAAGUUUAUUUAUUUUGAGAGAGAGAGGUAGCAGGACAAGGGCAGAGAGAGAGAGGGAGGCAGAGAAUUCCAAGCAGGCUCCACACUGUCAGUGCAGGAGCCCGAUGUAGGGCUCAAACUCCCAAACCACGAGAUCAUGACCUGAGCUGAAGUCAGACAGUUAAUUGACUUAGCCACCCAGGUGCCCCUCGAUAUUUUUAAACAUUGGAUAUUUUUAAAAGAAGCCCACUAGAUUUAUGUAAAAAGCCUAAAUUUUAUUAAAUUUUAUUAUCUCAUAUCGGGAGACAGUAUUAUGUAACAUGAUUAGUUUGAGGAUUUAUAGCUACUCAGUUGAGUUUGAAACCUGUUUCUGUGAGUUAGCACUGCCCUUAUCUUUCUUGUGCCUUAGUUUCCUUACCUGUAAAAUAGCAAUAAUCAAUAGUGCUUACCCCUUAGGUUGUUGGAGGAUUAAAUGAGAUCAAUGCAAAUAUAGGGGUUGGCUAAAUGGUUAGGGAAUUGUAAAUGUUCUGCAUAUGCCAACAACAACAACAACAACUGUAAUAAGACACUUAUGUACCAGGUACCAUACAUAUUUAAUCAUUUAAUGCUCAUCCUAUGAGCUAAGGAGUAUUAUUAUCUCCAUUGAAUUGAAGAGGAAACCAUGAUAUAGAGGACUUAAGUAAAUUCCCAGAAGUUGCAUACAGUAGAAAGUAUUGGAGCUGAUAUUCAGAUUCAGGCUGUCAGGCUCUAGCGUCUUUACUGUUAACCCUAUAUAUUCUUAGCAUAAUUUGCAUUUCAGCUCCCUGGUUAGAUGAAACUUGCCUUUGAUAAAUGUAUUUGUUGUAGGCUAAAUGGUGACAGCCCUUUAGGAUGAUUUGAUAUUGUGUUUAUUUUAUAGUUUACAUGAUAUUCUUUGAGACUUCAGUGCUAUAAUCUUCAUUCUUCUAACCAUGCUAUUUGAGUUUCUUUGAUAUGAAGAUUUCUUAAAAUGUACUACUUUUUCCUUUUUAAUUUUAGAUGUUAUUGAAUUGUUCUUUAUUUAUGUUUUAUACUGAAUGAGGAUCAUAGCACUAAUAAUGGAUCUAACCUUUGACGAUGUUUGUCUCUGUGAUGUUUGUUUUUAAAGAAAUAUACCUUCACAUUUUUAGGGGGCAAGAUUACAUUCUUUUCAGAUAUUUUAAGAAAUGUUAAUAUCUAAAAGGUAUAUGACUAUAAUAUGUUCACAUAAUAUUUAUGUUGUGUAUGUACAUAUAAAAUAUAUUAAAAUACAUACAACUUUAA